rnacentral:rRNA from 1 species
AUUGAACGCUGGCGGCAUGCCUUACACAUGCAAGUCGAACGGUAACGGGCCUUCGGGUGCCGACGAGUGGCGAACGGGUGAGUAAUACAUCGGAACGUGCCCGAUCGUGGGGGAUAACGAGGCGAAAGCUUUGCUAAUACCGCAUACGAUCUACGGUUGAAAGCAGGGGACCGCAAGGCCUUGCGCGGGCGGAGCGGCCGAUGGCAGAUUAGGUAGUUGGUGGGAUAAAAGCUUACCAAGCCGACGAUCUGUAGCUGGUCUGAGAGGAUGAUCAGCCACACUGGGACUGAGACACGGCCCAGACUCCUACGGGAGGCAGCAGUGGGGAAUUUUGGACAAUGGGCGCAAGCCUGAUCCAGCCAUGCCGCGUGCAGGAUGAAGGCCUUCGGGUUGUAAACUGCUUUUGUACGGAACGAAAAGCCUUCUUUUAAUACAGGAGGGUCAUGACGGUACCGUAAGAAUAAGCACCGGCUAACUACGUG